GACAGCAUACCCUCUGACGAGAGUGGUGAUGCAUAAUGAUUAUAGGGGUCAUCUUAAGCGAAGUAUGAUCGUGGCCAUAGUUAACAUGUAGGACCAUUGUGGUUUGUACGACUGUGGUCAUAGAUCGUUUCAUGGUUUGGCAAGCUAUAAAUGUGAUAUUGGUUUAGCAAGCCGUAAAUGUGUUGUUAGUUUAAGAGGAC
rnacentral:lncRNA from 1 species